UGAAGGUUAUCCUUUGCCUGAUACACACAAAGUCACCGUCAGGGUAACGUCUGCACAAGGGAAUAGCCAUACCCAUCACUACGCGGAGAAUGUUCAUGAGGGGCAUUUUUCUUUUGAGACUGCCGAAGGUGCAGACUAUCACACUUGCUUUACUGCUGCUGUUCACAAGCCUCCGGUUAAGUUGACUAUUGAUUUUGACUGGAAAAGUGGCGUUGCAGCUAAAGAUUGGACAAAUGUUGCCAAGAAAGCUUCUGUUGAGGCAAUGGAAUUAGAACUAAAGCAUAUGCUUGAGAUUGUUCAAGGCGUCCACGAUGAGAUGUUUUAUCUCCGAGAAAGGGAAGAAG
rnacentral:misc_RNA from 1 species